rnacentral:rRNA from 1 species
CUGCCGGUUCACCGCCCGUCGGUGUCUAACUGGCAUGCACGUGUGGACGUCCUGCCGGUGGCCCGAUCCGGCGCGGGUCUCGUACCUGUCGUCCGAGGAGGGCCUAUCAUACCCGUCGCGGUGCUCUUAACCGAGUGUCUCGAUGGGCCGGCACGUUUACUUUGAACAAAUUAGAGUGCUUAAAGCAGGCAGCAUCCGCCUGAAUACCGAGUGCAUGGAAUAAUGGAAUAGGACCUCGGUUCUAUUUUGUUGGUUUUCGGAAUCCCCGAGGUAAUGAUCAAUAGGGACAGACGGGGGCAUUCGUAUUGCGACGUUAGAGGUGAAAAACUUAAAGGAAUUGACGGAAGGGCACCACCAGGAGUGGAGCCUGCGGCUUAAUUUGACUCAACACGGGAAACCUCACCAGGCCCGGACACCGGGAGGAUUGACAGAUUGAGAGCUCUUUCUUGAUUCGGUGGGUGGUGGUGCAUGGCCGUUCUUAGUUGGUGGAGCGAUUUGUCUGGUUAAUUCCGAUAACGAACGAGACUCUAGCCUGCUAACUAGUCGCUUCCGGUAUCCUUGUGCUACCGGCGACUCCUGAUCUUCUUAGAGGGACAGGCGGCUCCUAGCCGCACGAGAUUGAGCAAUAACAGGUCUGUGAUGCCCUUAGAUGUUCUGGGCCGCACGCGCGCUACACUGAAGGAAUCAGCGUGUCCUCCCUGGCCGAAAGGCCCGGGUAACCCGCUGAACCUCCUUCGUGCUAGGGAUUGGGGCUUGCAAUUGUUCCCCAUGAACGAGGAAUUCCCAGUAAGCGCGAGUCAUAAGCUCGCGUUGAUUACGUCCCUGCCCUUUGUACACACCGCCCGUCGCUACUACCGAUUGAAUGAUUUAGUGAGGUCUUCGGACCGGUGGGCGAGGGGGUUCUCCUCCUCGAUUCCACCGGGAAGAUGCCCAAACUUGAUCAUUUAGAGGAAGUAAAAGUCGUAACAAGGU